GGCGGGUUGCCCGAGCGGCCAAAGGGAUCUGACUGUAAAUCAGACGGCACUGCCUUCACAAGUUCGAAUCUUGUACCCGCCA
rnacentral:tRNA from 1 species